UGUUUGUUUAGAGAGACACUGGCGGAGUGUGGGCCCUCUCAGAAGGCGAGAGCGGCCCUGGGAGAUACACGCUCCACAGACAGAGUUCACACUGUCUCAAAGGUUAGGGGAGCAUUUCCCACAAAGAAAAAGGAGCAAGCCAAAAAAGUAAGCUGCUGCCAAGUACACCGUCCGGUGAGAUGGUUGUCAUGCAUCUAAGAGCUGGAUGAAACCAGGGCGUCAUCAAAGACCGUGAGAUGGAAUCAGACUGCUUUGAACAGGAUGCCUCAGCGGAAUCCAACUUUGAUGUAAGUCAUUUUAUGUUUUUU